rnacentral:rRNA from 1 species
CCUUGAGAGUCCUGAAGGAACGUUGAAGACGACGACGUUGAUAGGCCGGGUGUGUAAGCGCAGCGAUGCGUUGAGCUAACCGGUACUAAUGAACCGUGAGGCUUAACCUUACAACGCCGAAGAUGUUUGG